AUGGCGGCGCAUGGUGGUGGCUGUGAGCUCCUACGCAGGGGAAGGAGAGGGCAGCCUGGUGGUCCACCAAAUGGAGCAGGGGAGGUCGAUGCGGUCAAUGGGAAGAGCAGCAACAUGACGAAGCGGAUGGCAUCGGACUUGGCACAGAACAAGGGAGGUGGAGCUCCUGCUCGAGCAGAGGGCUCGGGCGCGGGACUUGAGGCACUUGAGGCGAUGGGACUAGGCGGGCCGGAGCAGAGCCAGGAGGAGGAGGUCGCGGGCGACGAAGCAAGGUGGUGGCAUGGCUCUGGCUGGCGUCGGGGACGAGGUUGCAGGAGGGGAAGCAGGCCAGCAGUGGUGGUGGAGGAAGGCCAGGUGAGGUCCAGUGACCGGCGGCUUGGAGAGGAUUGGGCGCUGGGGCUCUUCCCUGGCUCAAGGUGGGAGAGAGGAGAGGGAGACGAGGGGAGGAAGAGCGAGGGGAUCGGGCUCCUGUCUCUGCGAGCGCGUGCGUGGGAGGUGGCGUUGUAG
rnacentral:rRNA from 1 species